GCUUGGGUGGCUCAGUUGGUUGAGCAUCUGACUUCAGCUCAGGUCAUGAUCUCAUGGUUGGUUUCUAGGUUCAAGCC
rnacentral:tRNA from 1 species